UGUUUGAAAGAUCACAGGAAGGAGGCUGAAAGCCAGAUCCAGAAAGGUCUUGGGGGCCGGGGACUGAGGGUCUCAUGUGCUGAGACUCCGCUUCCUCCUGUGAGCAGCUGGGCGCUAUGGAACUUUCUAUCACUGAAGUGUCGGGAGAGGGAUCUGGAGGUCGCACGGGUCACGCCAAGCCCUGACAGCGCCACGGGGCUGCAUCCCACACGCACGCUCCUUCGCUCCGGCCCCCCUGCACACCCGGGAUCCGAGCCCCGGGCGGCUCCUCGGUGCACCUGCGUGCGCCUCCGCAGCUUCCCCCCCCAGGGGCGCUCGAGCCCCUCCCCUGGCCCGGCCGCCUUGCCCGGCCCUCGGCCCUCGGCCCUCGGCCCUCGCGGGGCAAGAGGCAGCUGCAAACAGCGCGGCCUGGAGCCUCGGCCCCAGAGCCCCCGCCCCCCCACCUGGGCAGGGUCCUCCCCUGCCUCCCGCCGCUGCCUGGGGGCUCUGGGGCCCCGCACCCAGUCACUCCGCCCCACGCCCCCCCAGCGCCCCCCGGAGCGCGAAGGGCUGUCACCGCUCCGCAGGUCCUCGCAGGCUUCCGCCGCCUCCGGAGGUCCCAGCCGCGGGCUCGCCCCGGCCCCGGGGUCCCCCAUAGCUCGGCUGCUGCCGACUCCCGCCCCGGCCCCUCUGCCCCUCGUCCUGGGGGCAGCCCUGGCGGCACCGCGCGGCGGGCAGUACCUGGGGUCGCCCCCGGCCCGGCAGCCCGAGGUGCGUCACCCAUCCCACACCCGAGCCCCCACCCCAGCCGGGCGGGCCUCCUGGAGGAGGAGUCGGCGCUCCUGCCCGGUUCUCAGCACCGCGGAGACAAGGACAGCGAAACGACAAGGCCCAGCCCCAGCCUGCGUCUCCCCGGGGGGGGGGGGGGGGGGGGGGGGAGGAGCUGAGACACCCCCACCCCACCCCCACCCCCACCCCCACCCCGCAGAGCUCGCGGAGCCGGGUACUGGGUACUGGCGCGGGCCGGGCCCCACUGAGGGCUCUGCCCUGGAGGCUGAGCCUGUGUCUGGCUGGACUCAGGCAGGAGAGGCCCUCACCUGCACGCACCUGCACACACCUGCACGCACCGCACGCACCCGUACACACCCGCACGCACCCGCACGCACCUGCACGCACCCGUACACACCCCACGCACCUGCACGCACCCGCACACACCUGUACACACCCGCACGCACCCGCACGCACCUGCACGCACCUGCACGCACCCGUACACACCCGCACGUACCUGCACCCACCCAUACACACCCCACGCACCUGCACACACCCGUACACACCCGCAUGCACCCGCACGCACCUGCACGCACCCGCAUACAUCCGCACACACCUGUACGCACCUGCACACACCCGUACACACCCGCAUGCACCCGCACGCACCUGCACGCACCCGCAUACAUCCGCACACACCUGUACGCACCUGCACACACCCGUACACACCCGCAUGCACCUGCACACACCUGUACACACCCGCACGCACCCGUACACACCCGCACGCACCUGCACGCACCCGUACACACCCCACGCACCUGCACACACCCGCACGCACCCGCACGCACCUGCACGCACCCGCAUACACCCGCACACACCUGUACGCACCUGCACACACCCGUACACACCCGUACGCACCCGCACGCACCCGCACGCACCUGCACUAUCACAGAGCCUCUGGCCGGCGCCGCCCCUCGGGGCUGGCUGCAGCCUCACGGUCCUGGGGGGACCGGCUCCCGGGCCCCGGGCCCCGCUCCUCCACGCCUCUGGCGGUGA
rnacentral:lncRNA from 1 species